GUGUACUGUAGCCUUUUACAGUUAUGCCCCUUAGGAAUUUGAAAAACAGUCUGGAAAAAAGGGGUCGGCCCAGUUGUCUAUCCUUAAUUAUGAUCGGACCUGCUUCGAGGCCAUCAUAAUUAUUAAUGUCGUUCAUCUUUGUUGUUGAAUUUUUUUUUUUACUUUUAUGUUAUAAAAGGAAUGGCAAUAUUACUAUAUUAUAGUAUAUUCUAUACUUUCUUUAGAGUCUAUCAUGAAUUAUUUUAAUGCAACGUUUAUAAAUACGUUGAAACUGUUGUCUAUCACAGAUUAUUUAGCUUGACGAAUAGGGCUAUUGAGCACACAGAUUAUAGGCUUAAAAGUAUCACGAUUAUGAAACUGUUGUCCGCAUCUCUAUAAUAUGUACCUUUACGAAUUUAUUAGUGUCUAUCAAAGAAAUAUUUUAAUUGAUAUUUAUGUAUGUCAUACAAAAAUAACCCUUUCAUAUACCAUUUCUUUUAUAGACAUUUGAAGGUACAUAUUAACAAAAUCAAUUGAUAUAUUUUAUUUUUUGCAUCAAAUAUGUUCUUUGAUAAUAUAAAGAAAAGUACUUUGAUCAAACAAGUGUAAGUGAGAAAGAAAUAGAAUUGGCUUCAAUUGCCAAUCAAUAUUUUUUGCUCACAGUCUGCAGUCUAUCACAGAUCAAUGAGCAAUUGCAAUGACCAACAGUUAACACAAACGGUUCCGUGGGAGGGGGGUAUGGCACACCCGGCACAUGCCCCAUCACUUAAGUCGCAUUCUAUUUCAAAGGAGUGGAAAUUAAUAAACUACACCUUUCAAAUGCCAUCAUGUGCAGGCGACAUGAACUCAUAAAAACAACAAAUUCAAACAGCGCAACUUCCUUUAAUUAUGUCCUCUUAAUGUUUCUUCACCCGUAAAUAAACAACAGUUUCCUCGUCUUCCAACAAUAUCAUAUACUGGUGAAAAUGUAUCCAUCAUCCGUGUGAUAUUUGUUGAAAAAAAGAAAAGCAUACAUGCCAUAAAACUUAGAAAAAAGUUAUUAUCUCCAGUCUUGUAGCAGAACGCAAUCCUUGAAUAUGUGCAAGAUAUGCCAUGAAGUCAAUAUCACCACUACUUGAAGGCCACUGAUGUGUUAUAUUCACUUGUAUGUCUUUCUGAUUUCUUCACAAAUUGCUUACGUCUAGCGGACCCUUGGGGGAAGGGGUACGCCCCUUAGGUAUGUCCUCUCUUAGGGAGCGGAGUACGCCCCUUAGGUAUGCCCUCUCUUGGGGAGCGGAGUAAGCCCCUUAGGUGUGGCCUCUCUAACGUCUAAUCCUGAAUCCUCCCCUGCUUUUAAGAUAAACUUUCAUAACCAGUAUCACUUAUUACCUUAUUAUUAUAAUAAAAUUCAUUAAACUUAUCUUGAAGCCAUGUGAUGGCAGAUAAACAAUGGUUAAAAGUUAAUUGAACAGUAAUGUUCAUUUCUAUUUCUUUAUUGAUAAGAUUAAUCCCAGUAUAAAAGAUUCAUUUUAUAUUAGAAAAUAAAUAAAAUAUAUAUGUUUAGGAAAUACAAUUAAGAAAACCAUGUUUUAUGAUAGACAAUAUUUUUUAAUGUAAAUGAUACAUAAGAAAAAAUAUUCUUAUUGUCUAUCAUGAAAUAUAUUUCUUAUUGUCUAUCAUGAAAAAUAUUUCUUACUGUCUAUCAUGAAUUAUUUUUUUAUUGUCUAUCAUGAAAUAUUUAUCUGUCUAUCAUAAAUUUUAAUACAUAUAUUUAAUUUAAAAUAUUUCUUAUUGUCUAUCAUGAAAUUUUUUCUUACUGUCUAUCAUGAAUUAUUUUCAUUAUUAUCUAUCAUGAAAUAUUUUUCUUACUGUCUCACUGUGUGGGAACGGACACCGGAUAUAGCUCAAAAAGUGAUAAGUAAACAGACGGUUCCUAAAGUGGCCAACCAUCCAGCCGGAAGAGAUGCCUUUUGCGGUGGAGUUGGCGAAGAGGCGUAAUGCGACUACAGUUGCAGUCAGGUUUGCGUAAGCUCAAGUGGACAACUUCGUCAACAAAGAUAUGUAUUAUUUUGCUCACUUUUUGUAUAAUUUUUUGUUCGCACUUUUUGGCUCAGCAUUGUUUUCUUUUUAAAUAAUUCAUCUUGAAAGAAUGUUUUCACUAUGUAGGUCACUUUAUAUUUCAUAGCCUUAUAGUGCAUUAAUUAAAAUAUUUGGAUUACAUUUUUAAAGGUUCUUAUUAAAUCAAUAAUUUGAUUAAACAUAUCCAUGAUUCUUCGAAUUAAUGAUUCUUUCUUUCCAAAUACACGAAAAUUGAAAAGGCAUUUUCUGUUGGUUUUAGAAAUUUUACAGUGAAAAUGCUAAAAGGUGCCAGCAUCCUUUCCCAAGAUUUCUUUAACCGAACCCAAGUAACUGAAAAUGUGUAUUUCAUUUUUUUUGUAUGUCAACAUAUAUAAUUUUAAAUAAAAUGUUUUAUAUGAGGGAGGCUUCAUUUUUAUGAUUCUGAAUGUGGGUUAUAAUAAAUUUCUAGGAAAGGCUCAUGAAAUAAGAGUGCAAAACAAUAUAAAACCUUAAUUCAUAUUAAUAUAUUUGUUAAUUUAUGAACGUAAUUGAAUUGAUUUCAAAUGAAUUUUGUUUAUUACGACUUUAAUUCACAUGAUUAACAAUCGUUUUUUUAAUUAUGAUACUUGCUUAUUUUAUUUAUAAACUGCUUAUUGAAAUAAGUUACUUCAUCGGGUUUUCAUAUACACAUCAAUGUUACAGCGUCCACGGUUCCUGAAGUGGCCAACCAUCCAGCCGGAAGAGAUGCCUUUUGCGGUGGAGUUGGCGAAGAGGCGUAGUGUGACUACAGUUGCAGUCAGGUUUGCAUAAGCUUAAGUGGACAACUUCGUCAACAAAGAUAUGUAUUAUUUUGCUCACUUUUUGUAUAAGGGUUUGUUCGCACUAUUUGGCUCAGCACUGCUUUCGUUAAAAACAAACAAUCUUGAAAGAAUCUUUUCACUAUGUAGGUCACUUUAUAUUUCAUAGCCUUAUAGUGCAUUAAUUAAAAUAUUUGGAUUACACUUUAAAAGGUUGUUAUUAUAUCAUUCAUUUGAUUAAACAUAUCAAUGAUUCUUCGAAUUAAUGAUUCUCUAUUUCCAAAUACACGAAAAUUGAAAAGGCAUUUUCUGCUGGUUUUAGAAAUCUUACAGUGAAAAUGCUAAAAGGUGCCAGCAUCCUUUCCCAAGAUUUCUUUAACCGAACCCAAGUAGCGGAAAAUGUGUAUUUUAUUUUCUUGUAUGUCAACAUAUAUAUUUUGCAAAUAAAAUGUUUUAUAUUGGAGGGGUCUCAUUUUUAUAAGUCUAAACGUGGGUUAUUAUAAAUUUCUAGGAAAGGGUCAUGAAAUGUGAGUGCAAAACAAUAUAAAACCUUAAUUCAUAUUAAUAUUCUUGUUUAUUUAUGUACGUAAUUUAAUUGAUUUCAAAUGAAUUUUGUUUAUUACCACUUAAAUUCACAUGUUUAACAAUCGUUUUCUAAUUAUGAUACUUGCUUAUUUUAUAUAAAAAACUGCUUAUUAAAAUAAGUUACUUCAUCGGGUUUUCUUAUAAACAUCAAUGUUACAGCGUCCACGGUUCCUGAAGUGGCCAACCAUCCAGCCGGAAGAGAUGCCUUUUGCGGUGGAGUUGGCGAAGUGGCGUUAUGCAACUACAGUUGCAGUAAGAUCUGCGUAAGCUUAAGUGGACAACUUCGUCAACAAAGAUAUGUAUUAUUUUGCUCAUUUUUUUGUAUAAGUUUUUUUGCACUAAUUGGCUCAGCAUUGUUUGUUUUUUUAAACAAUUUAUAUUGAAAGAUGUUUUCACUAUGAAGGUCACUUUAUAUUUCAUAGCCUUAUAGUGCAUUAAUUAAAAUAUUUGGAUUACACUUUAAAAGGUUGUUAUUAUAUCAUUCAUUUGAUUAAACAUAUCAAUGAUUCUUCGAAUUAAUGAUUCUCUAUUUCCAAAUACACGAAAAUUGAAAAGGCAUUUUCUGUUGGUUUUAGAAAUCUUACAGUGAAAAUGCUAAAAGGUGCCAGCAUCCUUUCCCAAGAUUUCUUUAACCGAACCCAAGUAGCGGAAAAUGUGUAUUUUAUUUUCUUGUAUGUCAACAUAUAUAUUUUGCAAAUAAAAUGUUUUAUAUUGGAGGGGUCUCAUUUUUAUAAGUCUAAACGUGGGUUAUUAUAAAUUUCUAGGAAAGGGUCAUGAAAUGUGAGUGCAAAACAAUAUAAAACCUUAAUUCAUAUUAAUAUUCUUGUUUAUUUAUGUACGUAAUUGAAUUGAUUUCAAAUGAAUUUUGUUUAUUACCACUUAAAUUCACAUGUUUAACAAUCGUUUUCUAAUUAUGAUACUUGCUUAUUUUAUAUAAAAAAACUGCUUAUUAAAAUAAGUUACUUCAUCGGGUUUUCUUAUAAACAUCAAUGUUACAGCGUCCACGGUUCCUGAAGUGGCCAACCAUCCAGCCGGAAGAGAUGCCUUUUGCGGUGGAGUUGGCGAAGUGGCGUUAUGCGACUACAGUUGCAGUAAGAUCUGCGUAAGCUUAAGUGGACAACUUCGUCAACAAAGAUAUGUAUUAUUUUGCUCACUUUUUUAUAAGUUUUUGUUUUUACUAUUUGACUCAGCAUUGUUUUCUUUUUAAACAAUUCAUCUUGAAAGAAUGUUUUCACUAUGUAGGUCACUUUAUAUUUCAUAGCCUUAUAGUGCAUUAAUUAAAAUAUUUGGAUUACAUUUUUAAAGGUUCUUAUUUAAUCAAUAAUUUGAUUAAACAUAUCAAUGAUUCUUCAGAAAAUGCUUAUUUCAUUUUCUUGUGUUCAUAUAUAUUUAUUUAAUAUUGUUUAUUGGAGGGGCUUAGUCUGUAUUAUAUGUUGUUUAUUAUAGACUGGUAUGAAAUGCUUAUGAAGUGCAAGUUAAAAGCAAUUCAAAAAAAGAUUAAGAUAAUAUGAAUUAAUUUGUUAAUUGAGAUUAUAAAAUGUUUUUAAUUGAAUUUGAAUGAUAUUUGUGUUCUAGCUCUUUAAUUCAUAUGAUUAACAUUUGUUUUUUUUCGUUGAUAAAACUUGACUAAAGUAUAUAUUUAACGGUUUUUUAAUAUAAGUGACUGCGUUCGUUCAAUGUUUCAGCAUGUGUCCUACCAUCCGGUUUGUAAUCGAUGCCCCAUGCAUUAAGCUUUGGAUGACAUGUCAAGUAUGAUAGUUAGACAGAAGCAGUGUCCAGGGAACCGGGAGUGUCCCACCUUGCAACUCGAAGUGAUACCUCUUGCAACCUGAACGAUGCUCCAUCAGUGGCAUUUGCAAUGCCCGAAGGCCGCACAAACCUGUCUUCCAUUAAGCACUUUUGGCCAUGGGUGACAACUUAGUGAUGACACAAAGGGUAACACCUUACUGAUGACACAAUGGCUUGAUUGCUUAAACUGGGUCAGGCCUCUUCACGGGAAACACAAUGGAAAAUGAAAUAUUCAAUACAUUGACGCUCUAUUUUUGCGCCUUGUGUUGAUAGAUAAGACUUUUACGUUUAUGUGGCAACUUUAUAUUUAUGACAUUAUAAUGGUGAUGUUGCAUUUUUAUACUGAAGUGACUUUCAUAUGUUGAUUUGACAUUAUUAAGUUUAUGUGACAUUCUAAUGUUAUUGGAAUUCUUAUUUUGAUGUAACCUUCUAAUUGCGAUGUGACAUAACAUGUAAGUUAUUGCGCGAGUACUUUAAGAUACAGGCCUCAAUUUCUCGAAACUUAUAAGUCACUUAUAACAGGAUUAAGCUGAGCUCAUUAUUUUUGUUUUCCACUAAUUUGCAUAACAUUUACUUCUUUAAGAGUUUUCAUACUUAAGAUUGGAGUUAUGAUUAUGAUUAUCACAAUGAACCUUUUUUCAUUUAUAAAAAAUCAAUUUUAGUAUGUAUUUUACUUAUUGAAAUAAGCUGCUUAAGCCUGUUAAGUUUAAGAAGUUUCGAGGAUUGGGGCCAGGUGUAAAUUGUUAUGUUGUCAUUAAACUUCAUGUUGUAUACACCCUUAUUUUUGAUAUUUUACAAUGUUUAUAUUUGAUGUUGUAUAUGAAUCAUAAAUUUGAAACCAGGCCCCAAUUUCUCGAAACUUCGUAAGUCUCUCAUAACAGGAUUAAGCUAAGCUCACUAUUUUUGUUUUCCACGAAUUUGCAUAAUAUUUACUUCUAUUAGAGUUUUUAUACUUAAGAUUGGAGUUAUGUUUAUGAUAUUAUCACAAUGAACCUUUUUUCAUUUAUAAAAAAUCAAUUUUAGUAUGUAUUUUACUUAUUGAAAUAAGCUGCUUAAGCCUGUUAAGCUAAAGAAGUUUCGAGAAAUUGGGGCCAGGUGUAAAUUGUUAUGUUGUCAUUGAACUUCUUGCUGUAUACACCCUUAUUUUUGAUAUUGUACAAUGUUUAUAUUUGAUGUUGUAUGUGAAUCAUAAAUUUGAAACCACAGGUGUAAAUUGUUAUGUUGUCAUUGAACUUCAUGUUGUAUACACCCUUAUUUUUGAUAUUGUACAAUGUUUAUAUUUGAUGUUGUAUGUGAAUCAUAAAUUUGAAACCACAGGUGUAAAUUGUUAUGUUGUCAUUGAACUUCAUGUUGUAUACACCCUUAUUUUUGAUAUUGUACAGUGUUUAUAUUUGUAUGUAAAUCAUAAAUUUGAAACCACUUUCCAUUUGUUCCUGUUUUACAUACCUUAACAUGUGUUUCUUUGUCGGCUGCAUUUCAUCUCUUAAUAACCUUUUCGCUUGGUAUUGUAUAUGUGUUGUUAUG